GAGUUUGAUCAUGGCUCAGAUUGAACGCUGGCGGCAUGCCUUACACAUGCAAGUCGAACGGCAGCACGGGAGCUUGCUCCUGGUGGCGGGUGGCGAACGGGUGAGUAAUGCAUCGGAACGUAUCCUGGAGUGGGGGAUAACGUAGCGAAAGUUACGCUAAUACCGCAUAUUCUGUGAGCAGGAAAGCGGGGGACCUUCGGGCCUCGCGCUCUUGGAGCGGCCGAUGUCGGAUUAGCUAGUUGGUGAGGUAAAGGCUCACCAAGGCGACGAUCCGUAGCAGGUCUGAGAGGAUGAUCUGCCACACUGGAACUGAGACACGGUCCAGACUCCUACGGGAGGCAGCAGUGGGGAAUUUUGGACAAUGGGGGCAACCCUGAUCCAGCCAUGCCGCGUGAGUGAAGAAGGCCUCGG
rnacentral:rRNA from 1 species